GAUGAACGCUGGCGGCGUGCCUAAUACAUGCAAGUCGAGCGAACGGACGAGAAGCUUGCUUCUCUGAUGUUAGCGGCGGACGGGUGAGUAACACGUGGAUAACCUACCUAUAAGACUGGGAUAACUUCGGAAAACCGGAGCUAAUACCGGAUAAUAUUUUGAACCGCAUGGUUCAAAAGUGAAAGACGGUCUUGCUGUCACUUAUAGAUGGAUCCGCGCUGCAUUAGCUAGUUGGUAAGGUAACGGCUUACCAAGGCAACGAUGCAUAGCCGACCUGAGAGGGUGAUCGGCCACACGGGAACUGAGACACGGUCCAGACUCCUACGGGAGGCAGCAGUAGGGAAUCUUCCGCAAUGGGCGAAAGCCUCACGGAGCAACGCCGCGUGAGUGAUGAAGGUCUUCGGAUCGUAAAACUCUGUUAUUAGGGAAGAACAUAUGUGUAAGUAACUGUGCACAUCUUGACGGUACCUAAUCAGAAAGCCACGGCUAACUACGUG
rnacentral:rRNA from 1 species